GUAUGAUCUAGUUUGUAAAUAGAGUGAAUAACUUUCACAAACAAUGAAGAAUAUGCUCCAAAUUUACAACCUCUCCCAAGUUAAGUUGUUUUUAAUUGUGCAAACAAUUUUGUUACCUAUGCAAUGUAUAUAUCAAUGUAUGUCAUAGAAUCACCUCCACUGUUUAUCAAUUAUCGUACUUCAUAAAUAUGACUUAGUCAUGUAGUUUAGAAAUCUUAGUAUUUUUGUCCAUAUCUUUUAAUAAUUUGUAAAGUUUGGUAUAUUCAUUAUGUUCGAAACAGUCUAAACAUUGGCCAAUUGUUGCUUUGAAAAUAAAUAUACUUUUCAAACAAAACGGACAUGUGAUACCAUGACAUACCUUUAGUGUGACCAAUUAUAUUAAAGCUUAAAAUGAGACUUGUUAGACAUGAUAAAUGGUACCACCGACAAAACAUAUAUGGUUAAACUAUUUUCUCAUUGUAUCCUUAAACUAUUUUUUAUUGUAUCCCAAAAUUUUGUAACAUGUGUAGCUAUAAUUUAGUUUGAGAUGAAUUGUUUUUUAAAAAAUUUUUACACACAAGUUCGUGGUUGACUUGUCAUUCUUAUACAUUUUUAUUUUGCAAAAAUAUAAAAUAUGUAACACCGAUUAUGAAUAGUUUGUAAAAACCAAGAAGCUCGUAUUUAAGCCUAACAAGAUUAUGGACUAGAAAGAUUCAUAAAGUGAAGAACCUUUAAUGACUGAUGAUUAGAGAACUAUUUAUUAUUAGAUAAUAUGUGAGAACUAUUUAUCAAAUAAUAUGUGAACACAUAGGUUGUUAACAUUUGGGAUAGAGGUUUGGCACGUAUUUUAAAUCUUUUAUUUAAUAUAGUUUGAAAAAUUAUUAUAAUUUUUUUCCUUCUACAUGAAAACUUAAUGUUCAAUUUCUUAAUCAGAAAAAAAAAUGUCAAAAAUAAGUUAUUGAACUACGUCUUAAAUACCUGUUAAGCAAUGAAAAAAAUUGUUAAAAAAAUGGAAGGAACGGAGAGAGUACGGAAGAAUGUUGAACUACAAUGUGCUAAGGAGUUUGAAACUUUAUAAAUUAAAUUAAAAUAAUGUACAUACAAGCACUCAACCUCGAUGUGGGCAUGGUGUACUGAAACAGGCUGAAAUAUGGCAGAAAGUCCCUGAAUUAAUCUAGCUUAAAAGCUGAAUUUCCCAUGACAGAUUUGGGGCCUUUGACUUAUUUUCUCGAAUUGCAGUACAACGUCAUAGCAAAGGACUAUUUUAAGCCAAGAAAAAUAUGCUGAAGCUAUUAUUGAAAAGGCAGGAAAGGCUGCUUGUAAAUGGGUUUCCACUCCGGUCGAUACAAAAGCAAAAAUUAGUGCUAAUGAAGAGGAGCUAGCGAGGAUCCCACAUUGUAUCGUAGCCGAGCUGGUGCACUUCAGUACUUAACAUUUACACGCCCUGACAUUAGCUAUGCAGUCCAGCAGGUUUGCCUACAUAUGCAUGCCCCUCGCCAACCGCAUUUUAAUGCUCUUAAGCGCAUUAUUAGGGCCUCGUUUGGUUCCCUGAUUUUGUAGUUACACCGCAACUUUCUUAUCCUUGGAACUAGGUUACAUGGUACAUAAGUCGUGUGCAAAUUAAAAACCUGUGUUUGGUAAUGUGUGGUAAUGUACGGUUCGGGUCUGUGUAACUAAAAUUUUGAAUAUAUAAUAAAAUUUUGUUGUCAUACAAAUUAUAUAUAAAAAAUGAAGUUAUUUAUAUAAUAAAAUAAGUUAAAUAAAUAAAUAAAAUAAAUAUAGAUUUCAAAUUAAAAAUUAUGAUACUUUUAAAAAUUAAAUAAAUAUUACAAUGAAUUAAUAUCUUAAUAAUAUAUUACAAUGUGGCAAAUAAAAUAAAAUAAUAUAUUAUAAGAUUUUUAGUUUUGAGAAAAUAAAUAACAAAAAAAGGUAUUAAGAAAAACAUUCAAUAACACUGAAUUUAAAUAUAUUAUUAUUAAAUCAUGAAUAAUAAAAAAAUAUACAUAUAAUAUAAUAUGUUAUACAUAUAGAAAAUAAAUUGUGUAUAUAUAAAAUAAUUAAAAUCGGAUAUAAAAUUUAAUAUUAAGUGAUGUAUGUAUAUAUAUAAUGAUAAUAUAAAUAAAUUUUAAAUAAUAUUAUUAUAUUAGAGGUAUAAUUUAGAUUAGUGUCUUUAACUCAAAUUUUGACAGAUAAUUACAAUUUUGAUAUGCUAUAUCAUUUUAAUAUAUAAUAUUUUAUAUUAUGUGUAACUCAUAGUACCCGCCUCUCAGCUAUGUAACUAGGUUACCGUGUUUCACUGCAAGUAAAAGAUCCUAGGAAAUUUGAGUUACAUCAUAAAUUAGAAAAUCAUGCAACCAAACGCUGUAACUAAAAUAAGUUCCAUGGAACUACAAGUUACGGUGUUGGGUUCCAUCAUACCAAACGAGGCCUAGGUACAUACAUGGUUCAUUUGUAUUCAGCACCAGUGUCAAGUUUGAUAGCUUACACUGAUGCAGAUUGGGAAAAAUGUCCCGACACCCGUCGAUCUACUUCUAGGUAUUGUGUUUUUCUGGGUAUUGUUGCCAACAUCGUGGCAGAAUCUUGUUGGAUUAGAAAUCUUUUACUCGAAUUACAUUGUCCAAUUCAUAAAGCUACAGUUGUAUAUUGUGUCAAUGUCAGUGCUGUAUAUUUAUCAAGCAACCCUGUUCAACAUUAACGGACGAAACAUGUGGAGAUGGAUAUACAUUUUGUUCUUGAACGGGUUGCCUUAGGCCGUGUUCAAGUUCUUCAUGUUCCCUCUUCCUACUAGUACGCUGAUGUUUACACAAAGGGUCUUCCUCGACAUCUAUUCCUUGAUUUCCGAUCCAGUCUGAGCGUUCAUCCUCCUCCCGCUCUGACUGCGGGGUGUGUUAGAGAAUGAAACUUCCCAAAAAAUAUAUAUAUUAAUGUUUACAAAAAAAGAGAGAUUUGGGCCUAUAAAAUGAUUCUGAAUGUGAGAUAAUGCCUAAUCUGAAAAUGCACAUCGACAAAAUUAUUGAUCAAUAUUUAGAAAGAAGAAAUAAAUCUUGACUAAUUUACUAACCGAUGUGAUCACCGGGAAUAAUAGUUCUUAAAAUAAGGAGAAUGAUAUAUAAUCAUAGGGGAUGAAUGUUAAUAAAAUAAGAAAAAUGUCAUUAUUCUGCGACACUCGAUAAAUAGUGUUAGAUUUAUGGAUUCUUUUACUCUUAUUGCCUGAUUCAGACAUGCACAUCAACAAGAUGAACAUCGAUUGGAAUUCAAAACCUCGAGAAAGCAAAGAUGAAGAUCCGAUGUUGCCUAUAUCAGAUGCAGAAGAUGACCUUUUGAAACUUGGAGAAGUGAAUCAGAUGCCUCCUCCAAUAAGAUUUGAAAAUAUCAUAUCUACGUGAUCAGAUGUGAAUGUUCCGGAAACAACUGAUUUACUAACCGGCUUAGUUGUUGGGGAUGACGAUCCAGAGAAUGAUAAUGUCCUACAAGAUUCAAUAAAUAUUGGCAGGGAAUUACCAGCAUUAAGAAAAUUCUGUCAACUUAAAAAUAUCUCUGUUUUUUGUUUGCUACAUUGGUGCUAUGAUUUGUACUUAAGAAUUAUUCAUGUGAUUGUCCUUGAGAAUCGUUGAAUUAAAUUGAUCUUUUAGUUAUUACUUACACAAAAAAUAAGCGAGUUGCUGCAUAUAUCAAAGUCCCUUGAACUAGUAUACAGGAGUUGUUUGAAUGUAAUACACAUCUGGUAAUUCUAGAAUUAUUUGGCAGACUCAAAUGUUUGGUCUCAACUUAAAAACAGUAAGAAUGUACCUAUGCAAUCGAAGGCUAAUGAAUACAAUAUACCUAUGCUAUGGAAAGCUUUACCCGUUACAUAUUAUUUUUCAGACUAUUCUGUCCCUAAUAAACGAUUUUGUCAAGCUCUGCAACUUAACCACUUCUAGACAUAUGUUCUUCUGCAAAGUAUAUAUAUCUGAAGAAAGUACAGUUGUAACUUGAACCUCAUCUCUUAUUUGGGUCCGCGACGAUUAUGAAAUUUUAUUGGCUCUUCAUGAUGAGAACAAUCACCAACAUUGUCUUCUUGAUUCACCCAUUUUAAAGGAAUGCGGAUAGACAUGGAAGUAAGACCAAUGGUAAGAUGAUGAUUUAGACCUCCAACAGGUAUAUGCAUGCGGAUAAAUAUAACCAAACCAAAAUCAAUGUUACUGAUUUAGACCAAAACCUAAAGUAGUGUAUACAAGGCUCAAACAAGUGUUCAUAAAAACAAUAUUGUUUCAUAAAUUCGAUCAACCAUUUGAUACAACAGAACUACAAGCUACUAAUUAACAUCUUUGCCUUUUAGUAACAACCAGCGAUGAACAUUCAUCACUAGCCCUCAAUCGCUUUGAAGAUCCCAAAUCCCACGAAUAGCUUUCUUUCAUCACUUCUUGCAGCUUCUCUUCAUGAAUCCCAUUGUCCUCCAGUAAAGUUCCCCGAAGCUCUUCCUCAAACUUGUAGUAGUUCUCAAAAUACGACUUGUGCAUUCCUUUUAGGAGCCACAAUGCACAACUCAGGGGUCCUGUACUUCCACAUUCAUCCAUACCCUCUUCAGAUAAUGAUCUAGUGCCAUUAGGCUCUUUCGGGGCAAAAUAUUCAUACGGUUUUAUCAGCAAAAGGUUACUUCGAUCUCUUGCCCAUACAUUCAAGAACUCCACUUUUAUGAACAGGCACAACUUCAAGUCCCUUUUGGCCUUUUAUAGUAGAAUCCUCCUUGGAUAUAAUUCUUGAGCCGAAGUAAACACCGUGAGGGUCAAGAAAGCCAACCAUGAUCCUAGCAUAAUCGCGUGAUCCAUUCGUGUACACAUACAUAUCAAACAACUUACUUGCCUCUCGCAAGAAUUUCCUCCCAUAAGGCCUUAACUUUGUCAAAUACUUAACGCCCGUGGCUUUCCAUCUGCGCAAAUUUUUCUUUCGAGUGUAAUUACACAAACCAGUUAUUUCUUCGGGGGAAAGUUUGUGUAGAGGUUUGGUAUGAAGAAGAGUCUGGUCCAAGUCCAAAACCAAACAGAGCUUUUCUCGAUUUCGUAAGUUCUGCAAAUUAAUUCGUCGAAUCAAUUCAUCCCUGCCGAUCUCUGCUGCAACCUGGUGGGAAAUUUGAGCGCGCAGUGCACUAUAGACAGCAACUUGGUUACAUAAAUCUCGUAAUGUAACAUCAGGUGAGAUUUCUUGAUUUCCCAUGAUUAUAGAAGUCAUGUAGUUCAGAGAUUUUAGUAGUGACAUAGUAAUGAAUGCUGAAUAGUUUUUUGAUAUUUAUAAAUAGAUUUUGAUAUCAAUUCAUAGGAUUAGGAUUUAAUCCUACGAAACUUAGGAUGUAGGAAAAUACACUUAAAAAAGUCCAUGUACUUUCUUUUGUCGGGAAAGUCCAUGUCCAAGAAUAACUUUUCUUCAAGCCACUUUUAAGAAUUUUGACUGUGCAUAUAAAAUUAUUAUUUUUAAUUUUUUUAUGAAUAAAAGUAUUUCACUAAUAUAUUUAUUCACAACAAGAAAAUUUCAAAAUUAAUAAAUUUAGAUGUGUGGUCAAAUCUCUUAAAAAUGCGUGCAAGAAAAUCAAAAGACUAAUAUAUCCAAACAGAGGGAGUAAUUAAUAUUAAUUUUAUUUUGGUAAUUAGGUUUUUUUUAAAGGAAUUAUUUAUUAUUUAUUUUAGUAGUUAUAAAUAAAGUAUAUGAAUUUAAAAUUAAUUGAAUAAUAAAUUAUCACUACUAAUAGUAGAAAAAUAUUUACAAAUAGAUAAUAAAUUGUAAAAGCAAAAUUUUCGUGAGAAAAUAUAAUCAUUUGGUUAAUAUAAUAUAAUUAGAAUUCAAUUCAUUCAUAUUAAAAUAUUAAUAAAAUAAUGUUAAAUUUUAAAUUAUAAAUAAUAAAUUACGAACUAUAUAUUUAUCCGUACUUCCCACGAGUUAAAGGCUGAAAUAGGUUAUAGGGCUAAAUAAUAGGUCAAUUUGUCCCCUCCCGAACGAAUCAAAUAUUGAACUAUUAUUUCUUGUCAACUGAAACAAGCGAAAUUGAAUUAUGGACCAAAACAGAAUUAAUAGGAACCAAACUAAAAUGAAAUUCUCUAUAUAGAAAUUGUAUUUAUUUUUUGACGGAAUUGUAUUUUUUUUUAAUGAAAACAAAAUAAAGAAAUAGCUCAAGACUAGCAAGUGUUUGUCACUAGAUUAAAAUAUUAAAACCACAUGCUCAGCCCCCGUUUAAAAAACGCUCGCGCUCUCUCCCUUUCUCCCAUAUGUGGGUAUGAUUUAGGACUACCAAUUGGUAUUUCUUCAAUUGACCACCAUAACUUAGGGUUUUUGGUUUGAAUCAGGGGUUCCUUUUUAUUUCAAUUUUUCAACUCAAGAGUUCAAUUGCUCUGAUUAGUUUGGUUUCUCUCUUUGUUUCAGGGUUCUGAGAGAGAUUCUUGUAGUGUGUUAAAAACUCUAAGAAGAGUUAGCUUAUUGAUUCUGUUUGUGACCAUGUGCACAGGCUCCAGUGCUCUGCAACUGUUUAUCCUCUUUCUCACCCACAACCCAAGUGUAUCAAAACUACCAUAUUGGUAAUAUUUCUCUCCCUCCCUCCCUCUGUUCUUGUUAUAUGUACUGUCUACAGUAAUUUUUUUGUCUUAGAAUCAGGCAAGUGUUUGCUUUGUCCAAGGUCGUACAAAAGCUAUAAUGUUUUCUUAAAUAUGAAACACAUGUACAGCCACUAGGCUUCUUGGAGUUGGGAGGCAAUGGGUCCUCUUACAUUAUUUGUUGAUAUGAAAAGCUCUUCUUCAGGUUAACUAUCCCCCUCAUUUUUCAUUCAAGCAUUCUUUUGACAUUUUCUUAUGGUUCAAUUGUUUAUUAGAAUUAGCCAAAUGGUACCAAUGACUAUUUUGGGCUUCCAAGUGGUAACACCCAACUUUUGACUUCAUCCAUCACAUACCACUCUGUUAAUCAAACGUUAAUCAAGCUGUUAAGUAGUAAUUAAAACCAUAUUUCCCUCCAAAAUACUGUUACCAGCAAGUUAAUACAAUAUCCAAAACAACCAACAAGUCUGAAUCAAUAAUGAACUACAAGAGUUUCACAAAUUUCCCAAAAUAUGUUCUAACCAUUUAAAGCAUAAUAAGCAUAAUAAAACAGGUCAGAUUUAAGGCUGAGAUUGAGAUGGUGGACAUUGAGACGUGUUGAUUUCAGUGGACUGUGAUGUGUUGCCCUCCUUAGUCUGAUUUGAAGCUUCCUUUUUUAGAGCUGCAGUUGCUUUCCUUGCCUUGGAUUGAUCCCUAAUUCUUGGAUGUCUAACCACUAUUGGUCCAUUCCCUGCUGCCUUCUUUUCUUUUGCAGUCAAACCUCCCUUGCAAGUUCUUGAAUUGUGGCCAAGGCAGUCACACUUAGUGCAUUUCACUGUUUUUGCUCUCUUCCCUUUCUGGUUUUCUCCUUCUUCCCUUCUCCUGUUUCUGCUUGGUCUCCCAACCCCUCUCUUCAUUGCAGGUGGCAUGACAAUAGGUAGAUCAUCAUAUGCAGGCCAUUGGCUUUGGUCAGGUAUGGGGUUAAUGCUAAAACUAUAAGAAAGCUUGUAUGUCCUAACAGAGUACCAUGCACUGACAACAUUGUGAGGAUCAAUCUUGGCAUGAACCAUAGCCCUUAUGGCAUGCCUACAUGGGAUGCCACUAAUCUGUAGUGAGGUUUUAUCUACAUCAACCUUAACCUCUACUUGAGUACCCAAGUGAAAAAUUAAUACUUUCUCCAUCUGCACAUAUGUUGACAAUCAUAUUACACCCAAUGCACCAGUUAACAGUUAUGAGUAUUAUACAUAUCAAUGUAUAUUAUGCAAACCCAAAAAACCUCAUUUACAGGGGAGUCAAAAAUCGUUCACUAUCAUACAUAAACACAUAUACACAGAUAAACUCGCACAUAUACACAGAUUAACCCUAAAACAAUGAAUUAAGCCGCGAAAGAUAUAUAUGUAUCGAUUAUAUAGAGUAAUUGAAGGUGAAAUGCAUACCUUAUACUUUGAUCAGUGUUGAAUUAAGUGGCGAGUGGCUGUAUUGUUCACUAUCUCGAUCGAUCCCCUCUUUCCAUGGAACCCUAAUCCUGCGUGUGUGUUUGGUUCUGUGACAUUAAACUCUCGUACCCGACUAAUGACCCAAAUUCAUGUUUUUUUACUUUUAAUUCAUUUUAUUUUAAUUACUUUUUUAAUUAAAUCAUAAUGGAUUAACGUUUUAUUAACGUUAACUAAACAGAGUGGUAUGUGAUGGAUGAAGUCAAAAGUUGGGUGUUACCACUUGGAAGCCCAAAAUAGUCAUUGGUACCAUGUGGAAAAGCCAAUUCUACAAUGGUACCAUUAGGAAUUUCCCUUAGAAUUAUAACUUUUGCUAAAGUUUUUUGCUUUUUAGUUAGUGAAUUAUAUAGUAAAAGCUGUGAUUGGAUUCUAUUGGUUUUAUAUUAUAACAUUCAUCUCAAUUGCAUUGUUCAUUUUUUGUGUCGAUUUCUAAGGCUUGAUUACUUUUCCGGAAAAACCAAAGCCAUGUGUAUUUUUGAUAUAUUCUUGACAAAGAAGAUAUGGAGGAGAUGAAUAUUUUAUAGAAUAUGUUUAACUUGAUCAGAUUUAUGUGCUUGAUGUAUAAUGUUUUCGUAUUCAAUAUAGUAAUUUGUUUUAUCAAGUGGAAACACUCGAAUAAACAUAGGAAAGCUUAAAGGUGUUUAGUCAGGAAGAAAAAAUCAGUAGAAAGAUUGAGUUGGUGGAAAGAAAUUGGAGAAGGGCAUUUGAUGAGUCAAUUCAGUGCUUCCUCCAGCGGCAAAACAAGUGAGAACUUCUUAAACUUCAAACACGAGGAAUGACAGGGAAGGCUAUUUGCACCCGUCUAAUAAUUUUCAGGUACUAAUUUAAUGAUAACCUACACCUGUAUAGGCAUUUAUUCCUAUAUUUGUUUAUGUCUAGUUCCUGGAAAGUGAAUUACAAUACAAACUAGGGUAAACAAAAAUAUUAAUUUUGGAUAUAAUCCAACCAAUGUAACUUUAUAAACAUUUUAAUAGUGUUCAUCUUGUAUAUGUCUUCCCAUUAUGACAAUAUAGAUUCUUGUUACUGAGGAAGGUUGCAUUUUAUUCAAUUUGAUAGUUUAUUCUCCAUCUCGAUUAUCUUAUUUCCAUCUAAGUCCUACUGAAAUCUUGGGGUAUGUUCAGGACUAGUACCAGUAAAGGGAAUCUAUUGGAUUGAGCAAAAAUUAUCAAUCCAAGAAGAUAAAGUUUUCACGGGCGAAUAAUGACUCAAUUUUUGAUUUUAAAUCAUAUUCAUCCUCAUGUACUUCAAAAUCAUAUUCACUGUAGAACGACAAUACCGGAAAGUGAUCCGUUAUACCACAGCGGUAGUUCCAUAUAUCAUAAAUGAAUUAAACAAAACCAUUGCACUCAAUGCAAUGACAAAAAAUCAUAUACAUCCUCAUGUACUUCAAAAUCAUAUUCACUGUAGAACGACAAUACCGGAAAGUGAUCCGUUAUACCACAUCGGUAGUUCCAUAUAUCGUAAAUGAAUUAAACAAAACCAUUGCACUCAAUGCAAUGACAAAAAAUGUUAUUAUGAACAUUGGUAGAGUUCAUGUAGCUUGGCAAAAUGGAGACUUUCAAAUUGGAGGGGAUCAAGUGACCCCUACAAAUGUUUACGGGACUGAUGCUGAUCUAUAGAUUCUAAAUCUCAUUCCAGAUCAAGAAGCCUUAGGUUAUUUGGGUGGAGGAAUAUAUUUUGAUGCCUUGCUGUGACACGGGCAACCUCAAAAGAUAAAUAUAUUUCUUAAAUUUUGUCAAACAUAAAUUUGGAGCAUCUUCUAAUUCAUUGGUUUUGGAAGUAAUCCACAUGUGAUAGUGAUGAUAUAUAUUGAAGAUGGAUAUACAUAUAAGAUAAAUUUUGUGAAUAAAUGUAAACCACAUAGAAACAAAUCAAAUGUUUAUAUAUUAUUUUUUAUAUUAUGGAGAAUAAGUGUAUGAGUUUACAACUUUCUUGGUUGCACAGCUCUUCAAUUAAUACACCUCUUAAGAAGCAUCUAGACCCUUUAUCAUUGUUCACCACUAAGGAAGGUUCUAGAGGGGUUUAUUAUAGUUAUAUAUCAAAGAAAUUUUAUAAUUAUAUUAAGAGAAAAUCUAAACUUUUUCACACACAUCCCAUAAAUACUAGAAUACACAUGCAAAUUCUAGGAUGCUCUAAAUUAUUCUAGAGAUGUUUAGAAAAUUCAAAUAAAUAAAUAAAUAAAUAAAUAAUUACUUCAUAAAAUAAAUUGUGCAAUAUACUAUGCGUAGCGUAAUAUUAAGUUUCUCACUUUGAUGCUUUGUAGUCAAUAAUGUGUCUUUCAAACUACCAUAAUCAAUAUCCAAUUAUAUAGAUUUAUGAGUUGCUUCCAAUCACCAAUUAUUGGAAAUUUCGUGAUACUGCUCGACUUCGAACUAUAUGAUUACGUCAACUUCUCGGUCCAAAGAUAAAUAAUGAAUGAAUGCAUUUUUGAUGAAUUCUGUAAAGGAUCCUCUACAGAUAAGGAUUCAACAUAUUAGUGGUCCAUCUCACCAACACCCUACUCCCAACAACCAUAGCGAUGAUAUUUAUUUUUUGUCAAGUACACUAUAGGUGCUAAUAAGAAACAUUUUAUAAAAUCACCUUAGACCCCAAAUGAUUUUGCUUAAAUUUCCAAAUGUUCUUGUCUUAAACCAAAAAUUAAAAAGGAAAUAUUUUCUUAUAUUGCAUCUACGAGGCUUACUUUUGACAUAUAUUCAACACUUUGUGUGUCUAAUGUAACAAAAGGAAAUGAAUUACCUUAUGCACAUAAUGCAACACCACUAGGAUAUAAGGGUAAGUGGGUAACCCUAAAUUUUAUUGCCCUGAAGAUGAUUCAUUAGCAUAGUAGAUAACAUAGUAGAUCGAAUUUUAUUAUGGUUCAUAUAACAUCUGAGCCCAUAACUGAAUGCAUACCGGACCAAACAACCCACCACAAGUCGCCCCAAAAGUGCUAGCAAAUUGGCAUACAUUAGUUAUUUGCUUAUGCUUAUAAAGGACCCGAAUACUUUUUAUCUUAAUAAUGUGCGAUGUUACAAACACCCCUCUUAUAUGCUUGACGUCCUCCUCGAGCCCAUAACCCAACUUACGAAACCCGGUCAGUGGCUUUGCACUUCCGGCCGGGUAGAGCUCUGAUACCAUUUAUAACAUCCGAGCCCAUAACUGAAUGCUUACUGAACCCAACAACCCACCACAUCUAGUUACUUGAUUUAUGAACUAAGUCUAUUUAUAAUGUACUUAACUACUAUACUAAUGAAUUAAUUAGUUUAAGUUAAUCAUGUAGAGGGACAUGCUGAUGUUGUGGUAUUUAUAAUGGGACCAAUUUUAGAGUUUCAUCUUUGAGUCAACAAAAUUUAGCGUAACAUUUUUAUCUUAGUGGUGCAUGUCGCAUUAUGUGCAUAAUGUAAUUUGUUUCCCUUUGUUGCAUUGACAUACAAAUUGUUGCAUUAUAUGUCAAAAGUAAGCCUCGUAUAUGCAAUACAAAAGAAUAGUCUGUUUUACUUAUUGGUCUAAGACAAGAGCAUCUGGGAAUUCAAGUAAUAUUAUUUGGGGUCUGAGGUGAAUUUAAAAAAAUAUUUCUUGUUAGCACUUAUAGUGUACUUGACCAUAAUGAAUAUCAUUCGUCUUUUGACCGAGAACUUGAUGUAAUCGUAUAGUUCAAAGUCGAAUAGUACCACGAAAUUUGCAAUAAUUAGUGAAAUGGAAGCAACUCUGCUAAGCUAUAAUAGGAAAUUGAUCAUGACUUGUGAUUGUUUCAAAGAUAAGUUAUUGACUACAAAGCGUCAACGUGGGCAUCCUAAUAUUAGGCUAGGGAUAGUAUAUUGCACUAUUUAAUUUAUGUCAUUUUUUUGCUGAAUUUUCUGAACUACUCUUGUAUAAUUUAGAGCAUCCUAGAAUGUUCUUGUGUAUUGUGGUAUUUAUGGGAUGCGUGUGAAAAGGUUUAGCAUUUUGUCAUAAUAUAAUUGUAAGUAUCUUAUAUAUAUACCUAUAGUUAACCCCUCCAGAACCUUCCUUAGUGGUGAACAGUCGUCAAGAAUCUAGAUGCUUCGUAAGAGGUGUGUAAAUUGAAGAGCUCCCAGCAACCAAUAGUUGUAAACGCAUACACAUACACUUGUUCAUAUUCACAAAAUUUCUCUUAUAUGUAUAUCCUAAGGUACUCGAACUCGGGUACGGAGUGUCCGAUACGACACACAUCUGAGUGUCGGAUUUGCUAAUCUCGAAAAUUUAGGUCACGGGCACACCGUCCAAAUUUUAGACACGUGUACGGGGACACGGCAAAUUUAAAAUAAAUAAUAUAUUUUUAUAUGUUAAGAAUAAAUAAAAAUAUAUUUUUAUUCAUUAUUAUUAUAUUUAAUGUAAUUUUGAAAAAAUAUUAUUAAUUUAACUUAUUUUUUAAGAUAUUUAAAAUAAAUAAUUUAUUUAGAAAAUAAUUUUUUGAUUUUAAAUCAUAUUCAUCCUCAUGUACUUCAAUAUCAUAUUCACUGUAGAACGACAAUACCGGAAAGUGAUCCCCAAACUGUGUUGGUCAUACACAUUUUAAUCCUUUCAAAAAAAAUAAUACAUGAAUUUAAAAGGUAAUGUAAGUUGUGAGUUGAUGCCAGCUGGGUCUUUAUAUUUGAAAUGAACCUGGACUAAAUCAAGUCUAGGUACGUUAUGUUAUUUUGUGGAGCUCAUCUAUACACACGCAUAUACUCCAUAUACAUCGUCUUCUUCAUCUGCUUUUCCUGUUCAUCUCUUUCAGUCUUCUUUCUUCUUCUUGUUUUAGAUCUUUAACCUCGUCUAAUCUCUUCUCAAUACAUGACUUAUCUCUGGCGAGCUGUGAUUUAGAUGCUCCGACGACCUUCGACUUUUCUGGCGACGGAAAAGAAGUGUCGAGAUUUUCAUAGACGAAUCCAUCCCGUAUCCCGUGUUGUGUUUCGUGUCGUGUCGUGUGGACACGGGUACGGUCGCUGGAGUAGGCGAGUCGGAGUAACACAGUGUAUAUCAAUCUUCAAUAUCAUCGGUGGAUUACUUUCACAAACAAUGAAGAAAAUGCUUCAAAUUUACAACACCUCCCGAGUCAUCAAAGUAAUUUGUCCUGAAGGUAUCCUCCGCGAUUCUCUUGAUCUUCUCCAAAGAUUAAUUAUAAUCAUUUCUGGUAAUUUUAUUUGACAAGGCUUCCCAUGCUUUAUACAAUAGUCCAUGUGAUUCACGCGAUCUAAUUAGUCUAAUACUUUUAGUACGACGUUGAUGCACAGUGUGUUAAGGUUUUGACCAUAAUUACUUCCAAACCUUGUACUUCUCUCAAAAAGCGUUCCUUUAAUAGGUUUAAAAUUAUGAAGAGGGCAAUGCCAUUGGAUGAUCAGAUGAACAUAUCUUCUGAUGAGUCAUUAUCUUCUGAACCAGACAUUGCAGAGUUGGCUGGCAAGCUUGUUCAGGACAUACCAAUUGAUCAACCAACUGACAUUGUUAUGACAACUGAUCUGGACGGCUUUCCCCUUUAGAAAAGAUCAUAUAUAAAUGGUGUAAAGUCAACGGAUUUGAGAUCACAAUGACCUCUUCAUAUACGGUCUUGGGUUGAUUUUCAAGUAAGUUUUUACCUUUGUAAAGUUGUAAAAUCACAUCAAAAAAGGAGAUCUUUGUCAAGUUAGUUUUAAUAUAUCUAAAUAUUAAUGUCAGUAUUUUACAAUUUGGAGGUUAAAUAUUAGUAUCAUAUUUUGAUAUCAUAUAUUUUUCCAUAAAGAGUAUGAUUAAUGAUUUUGUUUAUUUUCCUGACAAAAAAUAUAAAAUCCUUUUUUAAUGUUAUUUGUUCUAACAAGAAAAGAUUAAUAUGAAUUAUGAAUAUUUUAGUAUUUGAUUGAUAUAAAAAGUAAGACAAAAUCAUACCAGAAAGAUUAGUACAACAUUGCAUACAAUUUAGUUCCACGUCACUAACUAUAUUAUUUAUAUUGAAAGAAUUAGGAAAUAUUGCCAUUUAAACUGUAUUAAAUUGCAACAUUAAAUUAUCUUUCUUUCCUCAUGAUUAUAAGCUAGUAAAAUACAUUUGGUUCUUCCUAUUUUUAGAACUUAAUUAUAUCACAUUUUAAAUUACUAAAUCUUCCAUCUUCUUUGCAGAAACAUAGAAAGAAAGAAAAGCACUCUGUUAAUCUGCCUAGAAUUGCUAGUCCAGUAAUGUCAACUGUGCUGCCUGCAGCACCACUGAACAUUUUCCCACAAGAAUUAUGUUGCAAAUAUGAGGGGACAAUUUAAAGUGGUUCCUGGGAGAUUUGGUCUUGGGGCAAUGGAAGUCCCCCGGCCCCCAGAGGUACUGGAAAGCGGUCACUUGAGCAGUGGUCUGCAGACUCUAUAUCAUGAACCAGCUGGUGCAACCGAGGCGUGAUACCAUCAAGCAGUCUCCUGAGUAGUGGGUGGCAGACUCUGAACUGUCACCCGAACAAUGGCCUGCAGGCCCUGAACCAAGAAAAUGCUGGUGAUACUGCGAUAGCGAUGUUGAUCUGGGAAAUCCAGUUAACAUGGACAGUCACAGCUUUGAAGAAGGCACUAGUGCAAAUCAAGUGCUGGACGAUCUGCCUAGUGAGGAGGAAGUUAGUAAUAUGAUACAGGAUCUUGAAGCCUAUGAUUUAUUUGAUUUGAUAAAUUAAAACCAAACAAAGGUAUUCUCUUUCAGUUUUUUAGCAACUAUUCAGAAGUUUAACAUAAAACAAUUGAAAUCAAUCAAUACUAAAUGCUUUUGUAUGUUCAUGAGAUCUCUGUUUUCUGAGAACACUAUCUUAUGUUUAGUAUUAAUGGCUCAUUAAUGGUUGUAUUACUUCAUGUUUAGUGUGUUUUUUGUAUAAUUUUGGCUCGAUUGUUUUUAAUACUCGUUUCCUGUAGUUAAAUCUAUAUUCAGUAAACUAUUAAUAUAGAAUGUAUUAAUAAAUUGUUAACUAUAAAAAAAAUUUACCUCUGCAAUUAUAAUGUAUUAUGUAUAACUGAAUCCACUGUUUUCCAAGCAAGUAAAACUGUAUACUAGCAGUAUACAGCUUUGGCCCUUUGUCUGGGUAUAUGUGAGUACUUGUUUAACAGAAGCUAGCAAUUAAAUGUUUAUCUAUAAAAAUUAUGAAAUCCAGUUAUUAAUAAGUAUUAAAUAUUAUCUGUCUUGCAGGAGGAAUAUAGCGCAAGUUCGUUCUUUAAAGGCUUACUUGACUUGUCUGGCCGGCCCCAAAUGCUCAAGUUAAAUGAUUGACCUCAAUCUGGUUUUUGAGAAUCAUCUCCCAUGUCAUAAUGUGGAGUUCUUAAGUGCUUUGCCUUUCAAGGAGUACACACAUCCACAGAGCGGCUACUUGAACCUUGCUGUCAAGUUACCCGAGGGCCAUCUGAAGCGAGACAAAGGGCCAAAGCUGUAUACUGCUUAUGGCUUUUCCCAGCAACUCGGACGUGGUGACUGUCUCAAAACUCAGCUAUCAUAAUUCAGAUGCGGUAUGAUCUAGUUUGUAAAUAGAGUGAAUAACUUUCACAAACAAUGAAGAAUAUGCUCCAAAUUUACAACCUCUCCCAAGUUAAGUUGUUUUUGAUUGUGCAAACAAUUUUGUUACCCAUGCAAUGUAUAUAUCAAUGUAUGUCAUACAAUCACCUCCAACCAUUUAUCAAUUAUCGUACUUCAUAAAUAUGACUUAGUCAUGUAGUUUAGAAAUCUUAAUAUUUUUGUCCAUAUCUUUUAAUAAUUUGUAAAGUUUGGUAUAUUCAUUAUGUUCGAAACAGUCUAAACAUGGGCCAAUUGUUGCUUGGAAAAUAAAUAUAUUUUUAAAAUAAAACGGACAUGUGAUAUCAUGAUAUACCUUUAGUGUGACCAAUUAUAUUAAAGCAUAGAAUGAGACUUGUUAGAAAUGAUAAAUGAUACCACUGACAAAACCAUAUAGUUAAACUAUUUUCUCAUUGUAUCCUUAAACUAUUUUUUAUUGUAUCCCAAAAUUUUGUAACAUGUGUGGCUAUAAUUUAGUUUGAGGUGAAUUGUUUUUUGAAAAAUUUGUACACACAAGUUCUUGGUUGACUUGUCAUUCUUAUACAUUUCUCUUUUGCAAAAAAUAUAAAAUAUGUAACACCGAUUAUGAAUAAUUUGUAGAAACCAAGAAGCUCGUAUUUAAGCCUAACAAGAUUAUGGACCGGAAAGAUUCAUACAGUGAAGAAGCUUUAAUGACCGAUGAUUAGAGAACUAUUUAUUACUCCCUCCGUCCCAAUCAUUUGUAUACAAAUGGUUGGGACACAGAGACCAAGAAAAAUUAUAAGAAAUGAGUAAAGUUAGAUGAAAAGUAGGUAAAGUGGUAGGACCCAUUUAUUUUUAAGGGUUAAUUAUCAAGUUGGUCACUGAAGUGGGCUUAAUGUAUCAAGUUGGUCACUGAACUCAAAACGGUAUCAAGAUGGUCACUGAAGUGGCCAUAAAUAUCAAACAAGUACCUUGAAAUAUGAGUUCAAGCACUAAAAAUAUUAUUUAUACAGUUUUACACAUUAUUUUUGAAUGUUACCAAAACCAAGUAGAAGGUUAUGACUUCUAAUAUUUAUGACAAAAAAUUUAGAUUUUAUCAAGUUUAUUUAUUAUUUAUUUUUAAUUAAAACAAAGAAAUAACUAUAUAAUAAAAUAUAAAUAAUAAAUAAACUUGAUAAAAUCUAAAUUUUUUGUCAUAAAUAUUAGAAGUCAUAACCUUCUACUUGGUUUUGGUAACAUUCAAAAAUAAUGUGUAAAACUUUAUAAAUAAUAUUUUUAGUGCUUGAACUCAUAUUUCAAGGUACUUGUUUGAUAUUUUAUGACCACUUCAGUGACCAUCUUGAUACCGUUUUGAGUUCAGUGACCAACUUGAUACAUUAAACCCACUUCAAUGACCAACUUGAUAAUUAACCCUUUAUUUUUAAUAAUAGAUUUGAGAUAGUGGAGGAAAGUAGUGGGUGUAAUAGUGUUUUUAAUAUUAUAAAAUGAAGAUAGUGGAAGAAAGUAGUGGGUGUAAUAAUAUUUUAUAUUAUAAAAAUUUACUAUUUUGGGUAUGUAUACAAUUGAUGGGACGUACCAAAAAGGAAACCGUAUACAAUUCAUUGGGACGGAGGGAGUAGAUAAUAUGUGAGAACUAUUUAUCAGAUAUUUGCGUCCAAUCAAUUCAUACCUGCCGAUCUCUGCUGCAACCUGGUGGGAUAUUUGAGCGCGUAGUGCACUAUAGACAGCUCGUGAUGUAACAUCACGCGCGAUUUCUUGACUUCCCAUGAUCAUAGAAGUCAUAUGUAGUUCAGUGAUUUUAGUAAUGAAUUUCUAUAGUAUUCUGAUAUUUACAAGUAGAUUUUGAUACUCCCUCCGUCCCAACCAAUUCUUUACGUUUGGUUUGGGCACGAAGGUUAAGAAAUAUGUAUAAAGUAGUGGAAGGAAAGUUGGGAAGUGGUGGGACCAUUGACUAUUUUUGGUAAGUUUUGGAAUGUAAAGAAUUGGAUGGGACAUCCCAAAAAGGAAACUGUAAAGAACCUGAUGGGACGGAGGGAGUAUCAAUUUGAAUGAGAGGAUUAGGUUCUCAUCCUACGAAACUUAGGAUUUAGGAAAACACGGAGAGUUCCAAGAGAGUCCAUGCAGCUUCUUUUGUCGGAAAGUCCAUGUUGAAGAAGUAACUUUCUUUUAUUAAUUAAUAUAAUGCCCCGUUUGAAAACUAAGAUUUCAUUUGAAAUUCUUGAUUUGAUCAAAUAACUUGUUUGGUACUUUGGAUUUGGAUUUCAUUUCAAAUCCACAUAAAUUUGAGAAUUUGAAAUAACAAUUCAAAUCCCAUCAUUUGAAAUCCAUCAUUUGAAGUGAAAUGCAUGUUUCUAAACGCCCCCUAACGUUUAUUUUACUAUUUAGGAGGGUGUUUACCUGGGCUAGCCAUCUCCGGCUUUAAAUUGAAAAAUAUCUCUUUGUGUAAUAAGUCAGAAGUUAGCAUAAAGUCUGAGGCAGAAACUGACUUAAAGUCAUAAGUAGGUUGAGUUACUUUUUUCGGUGGUUAAAUCUUUUUUGAACUCUUUUUUGAUAAAAAUUACUCUUAAAUCAUGAGUUACUCAUAAAUCACUUUUAUUUUUAUUAUUAUAUUUCUAUUAACUCAUAAGUCAUUAAUAAGUCAAAAUUAUCCAAACAGACAUUUUAAUCUCUUAGCUUAUUAGAUAAGUCACGUUAAGUCACAAGACACGUUAAGUCAUAACUUAUAAGUUCAGCCAACGGGCUCUAGGUUUUAUUAAAACAAAUUAAACAAUGUAUUGUAGUAGUACUAAAUAAAGUAUAUAAAUUUUAAUAAUGCAAACUUAUUAGAUAUAGUUUCACUAACAUAAUCAACCCAUAAUUAGGUCCACUUUAUUGACCAACGAGAUAAUUAACCCAUAAUUUUAUUAUUGAGUUUUGAAGAUACACUGAAUUUAUCGUUGAAUCAUAAUAUAAUAUAGGAUACAAAUGUUAUGUCUGGUAUUGUGAAAAAUCAUAAAACAUAAAUAUGACUCGAUAUUUAUCUCUAUUAAAAUUAUUAAAAAUUACUACUUCCAUCCCAAAUUAGAUGAGCUAGUUGACUUCGGGCACGCACUUUAAAGUCCAUUGACCGCAUAGCUACAUUACUUAUUUUUGAAAUUUUAUUUUUGCAAAUAAAAAUUUAAAUAUGAAAUUUUCAUUUGCAAAAGAAAAAUUUUAAAAAUAAAUUUUGGAAGUCAAUGCACCUUAGGUUACGUGCCCGAAAUCAACUAGCUCAUCUAAUUUGGGAUGGGGGGAGUAUUAUAAUCCGUAUAGUUUAAUAAUGAAAAUUCUCUCUAUAGUAGAAAUUGUAUUUUUUUUUAAAAAAAAGCAAAAUAAACAAAUAGCUUCAGAUUAGCAAGUGUUUGUGGCUUGAUCAAAAUAUUAAAACUACACGUUCAUAAAACUCUCUCUCUCGCUCUCUCCUUUCUCCCUCUCACUUAGGUUCCUCUCUGCGUCUCUCAACCGAUAUGUGGGUAUGAUUUACGACUUGGACUUGACUCCGUCUUCUUCAUUUAGUUAUACCCAUUGGUAUUUCUUCAGUUGACCGUAGGGUUCUUGGGUUCCUUUUUAUUUCAAUUUUUCAACUCAAGAUCGUUCAAUUGCUCUGAUUAGUUUCGUUUCUCUCUUUGUUGCAGGGUUCCGAGAGAGAUUCUGUUUAUACAAGUUACCGAACCACCAUAUUGGUAAUAUUUCUUUCCCUUAAUUUUUCAUUCAAGCAUUGUUUUGACAUUUUCUUAUGGUUCAAUUGUUUAUUAUAAUUAUAACUCUUGAUAAAGAUUUUUGCUUUUGAGUCAGUGAAUUAUAUAGUAAAAGCUGUGAUUGGAUUCUAUUGGUUUUAUAUUAUAACAUUCAUCUCAAUUGCAUUGUUGUUAAUUUUUUGUGUCGAUUUAUGAUAUCGUAAAGGCUUGAUUACUUUUCCGGAAAAACCAAAGCUAUGUGUAUUUCUGAUAUAUUCUUGACAAAGAAGAUAUGGAGUAGAUGAAUAUUUUAUAGAAGUAUGUUUAACUUGAUCAGAUUAAUGUGCUUGAUGUAUAAUUAUUUCGUAUUUAAUAUAGUAAUUUGUUUUAUCAAGAGGAAACACUCGAAUAAACAUAGGAAAGCUUAAAGGUGUUUAAUCAGGAAGGAAAAAAACCAGUAGAAAGAUUGAGUUGGUGGAAAGAAUUUGGAGAAAGGCAUUUGAUGAGUCAAUUCAGUGCCUCCUCCAGUGGCAAAACAAGUGUGAACUUGAACUUCAAACACGAGGAAUGACGGGGAAGGCUAUUUGCACCCUUCUAGUAAUUUUCAGGUACUAAUUUAAUGAUAACCUACAUCUGUUUAGGCAUUUAUUCCUAUAUUUAUUUAUAUCUAGUUCCUGGAAAGUGAAUUACAAUACAAACUAGGGUAAAGAAAAUUAUCAUUUUUGGAUAUAAUCCAACCAAUGUAACUUUAUAAACAUUUUAAUUGUGUUGAUCUUGUAUAUGUCUUUCCAUUAUGACAAUAUAGAUUCUUGUUACAGAGGAAGGUUUAUUCAAUUCGAUUAUCUUAUUUUCAUCAUCAAGUCGUACUGAAAUCCUAGGGUAUGUUCAGGACUAGUAUACAAUAAAGGGAAAUUUUUGAUUUUAAAUCAUAUUCAUCCUCAUGUACUUCAAUAUCAUAUUCAAUGUAGAACGACAAUACUGGAAAGUGAUCCACAAACUGUGUUGGUUAUACCACAGCGGUAGUUCCAUAUAUCGUAAAUGAAUUAAACAAAAACAUUGCACUCAAUGCAAUGACAGUUAAUGUUAUUACGAACAUCGGUAGAGUUCAUGUAGCUUGGCAAAACUGAGACUUUCAAAUUGGUGGGGAUCAAUUGACCCUUACAAAUGUUUACGGGACUGAUGCUCUAUAGUUUCUAAAUCUCAUUCCAGAUCAAGAAGCCUUAGAUAAUUUGGGUGGAGGAAUAUAUUUUGAUACCUUGCUGUGACACGGGCAAAAUAUGAAAAUAUUUCUUAAAUUUUGUCAAACAUAAAUUUGGAGCAUCUUCUUCAUUGGUUUUGGAAGUAAUCCGCAUGUGAUAGUGAUGAUAUAUAUUGAAGAUGGAUAUACAUAUAACAUAAAUUUUGUGAAUAAAUGUAAACCACACAGAAACACAUCAAAUGUUUAUAAAAUAUUUUUUAUAUUAUGGAGAAUAAGUGUAUGAGUUUACAACUUUCUUGGUUGCACAGCUCUUCAAGUUAUACACCUCUUAAGAAGCAUCUAGACCCUUUACUACUGUUCACCACUAAGGAAGGUUCUAGAGGGGUUUAUUAUAGAUAUAUAUCAAAGAAAUUUUAUAAUUGUAUUACGAGAAAAUCUAAACUUUUUCACACGCAUCCCAUUAAUACUAGAGUACACAUGCAAAUUCUAGGAUGCUCUAAAUUAUUCUAGAGAUGUUUAGAAAAUUCAAAUAAAUAAAUACAUCAUAAAAUAACUUGUGCAAUAUACUAUGCGUAGCGUAAUAUUAACAUUCUCACUUUGAUGCUUUGUAGUCAAUAAUGUGUCUUUGAAACUACCAUAAUCAAUUUCCGAUUAUAUAGAUUUAUGAGUUGCUUCCAAUCACCAAUUAUUGCAAAUUUCGUGAUACUGCUCGACUUCGAACUAUAUGAUUACAUCAACUUCUCGGUCAAAAAAAAAAAAUGAAUGAAUGCAUUUUUGAUGAAUCAUUCCUUAAAGGAUCCUCUACAGAUAAGGAUUCAACAUAAUAGUGGUCCAUCUCACCAACACCCUACAUCUAACAACCACCACAGAGAUGAUAUUUUUUUUGUCAAGUACACUAUAGGUGCUAAUAGAAACAUUUUAUAAAAUCACCUCAUACCCCAAAUGAUUUUGCUUAAAUUUCUAAAUGUUCUUGUCUUAAACCAAAAAUUAAAAAGGAAAUAUUUUCUUAUAUUGCAUCUAUGAGGCUUACCUUUGACAUAUAUUCAACAUUUUGUAUGUCUAAUGUAACAAAAGGAAAUGAAUUUCCUUAUGCACAUAAUGCAAAAACACUACGAUAUAAAUGUAACACUAAAUUUUAUUGCCUCGAAGAUGAAGUUCUAAAAUUGAUCCUAUUAUAAACACCUCAACAUUAGCAGGCCCCCCCCUACAAAAUUAACCUAAAUAAAUUGAUUCAUUAGCAUAGUAGAUAGAAUUUUAUUAUGGUUCAGAUAACAUUCGAGCCCAUAACUGAAUGCAUACCGGACCAAACAACCCACCACAGGUCGGCCCAAAAGUGCUAGCAAAUUGGUAUACAUUAGUUAUUUACUUAUGCUUAUAAAGGACCCGAAUACUUUAUAUCUUAUCAAUGUGGGAUGUUACAAACACCCCCUCUUAUAUGCUUGACGUCUUCGUCGAGCUCAUAACCCAACUUACGAAACCCGGUCAGUGGCUUUGCACUUCUGACCGGGUAGAGCUCUGAUUCCAUUUAUAUCAUCCGAGCCCAUAACUGAAUGCAUACCGAACCCAACAACCCACCACAUCAAGUUACUUGAUUUAUCAACUAAGUCUAUUUAUAAUGUACUUAACUACUAUACUAAUGAAUUAAUUAGUUUUAGUUAAUCAUGUAAAGGGACAUGUUGUGGUAUUUAUAAUGGGACCACUUUUAGAGUUUUAUCUUUGAGUCAACAAAAUUUAGCGUAACAUUUUUAUCCUAGUGGUGCAUGUCGCAUUAUGUGCAUAAUGUAAUUUGUUUCCCUUUGUUGCAUUUGACAUACAAAUUGUUAAGUAAGCCUCGUAUAUGCAAUACAAAAUAAUAGUUUUUUUCACUUAUUGGUCUAAGACAAGAGCAUCUGGGAAUUCAAGCAAUAUUAUUUGGGGUCUAAGGUGAAUUUAAAAACAUAUUUCUUGUUAGCACUUAUAGUGUACUUGACCAUAAUGAAUAUCAUUUGUCUUUUGACCGAGAACUUGAUGUAAUCGUAUAGUUCAAAGUCGAGUAGUACCACAAAAUUUGCACUAAUUAGUGAAAUGGAAGCAACUCGGUAAGCUAUAAUAGGAAAUUGAUCAUGACUUGUGAUUGUUUCAAAGAUAAGUUAUUGACUACAAAGCGUCAACUUGGGCAUCUUAAUAUUAAGCUAGGGAUAGUAUAUUGCACUAUUUAAUUUAUGUCAUUUUUUGCUGAAUUUUCUGAACUACUCUAGUAUAAUUUUGAGCAUCCUAGAAUGUUCUUGUGUAUUGUAGUAUUUAUGCGUGUGCAAAGGUUUAGCAUUUUGUCGUAAUAUAAUUGUAAAUAUCUUAGAUAUAUAUCUAUAGUUAACCCCUCCAGGACAUUCCUUAGUGGUGAACAGUCGUCAAGAAUCUAGAUGCUUCCUAAGAGGUGUAUAAAUUGAAGAGCUUCCAGCAACCAAUAAAGUUGGAAACGCAUACACAUACAAUUGUUCAUAUUCACAGAAUUUCUCUUAUAUGUAUAUCUUAAGUUACUCGGACUCGGGUACGGAGUGUCCGAUACGACACAUAUCCGAGUGUCGGAUUAGCUAAUCUAAAAAAUUUAGGACACGGGGACACCGUCCAAAUUUUAGACACGGGUAAGGGGACACGGCAAAUUUAAAAUAAAUAAUAUAUUUUUAUAUGUUAAGAAUAAAUAAAAAAAUAUUUUUAUUCAUUAUUAUUAUAUUUAAUGUAAUUUUGAAUAAAUAUUAUUAAUAUAACUGAUUUUCUAAGAUAUUUAAAAUAAAUAAUUUAUUUAGAAAAUAAUUUUUUGAUUUUUAAUCAUAUUCAUCCUCGUGUACUUCAAUAUCAUAUUCACUGUAGAAUGAGAAUACCGGAAAGUGAUCCCCAAACUGUGUUGGUUAUACACAUUUUAAUGCUUUCAAAAAAAAAUAAUACAUGAAUUUAAAAGGUAAUGCAAGUUGUGAGUUGACACCAGCUGGGUCUUUAUAUUUAAAAUGAACCUGGACUAAAUCAUGUCCAAAUACGUUAUGUUGUUUUGUGGAGCUCAUCUACUAAACACGCAUAUACUCCAUAUACAUUGUCUUCUUCAUCUGCUUUUCCUUUUCAUCUCUUUCAGUCUUCUUUCUUCUUCUUGUUUUCGAUCUUUAACCUCAUAAUCUCUUCUCAAUACAUGACUUAUCUCUAGCGAGCUGUGAUUUAGAUGCUCCGACGACCAUCAACUUUUCCGGCGACGGAAAAGAAGUGUAGAGAUUUUCAUGGACGAAUCCGUCCCGUAUCCCGUGUCGUGUCGUGUCAACACGGGUACGGUCGCAGGAGUAGGCGAGUCGGAGUAACACAGUGUAUAUCAAUCUUCAAUAUCAUAGGUGGAUUACUUUCACAAACAAUGAAGAAAAUGCUUCAAAUUUACAAUACCUCUCGAGUCAUCAGACUAAUUUGUCCUGUAGGUAUCCUCCGCGAUUCUCUUGAUCUUCUCCUGAGAUUAAUUAUAAUCAUUUCUUGUAAUUUUAUUUGACAAGGCUUCCCAUGCUUUGUACAAUAGUCCAUGUGAUUCACGCGAUCUAAUUAGUCUUAUACUUUUAGCCCGUCGUUUACAAAAUAUUUUAAGUAUUUUCAGAUGAGUUAAAGGAUCCCGAUGAUGACGAUUCAUGUCUACUGCAAUGCCAUAUGAACAUCGAGUGUUGCAAAAUUAUGUUGUAUUAGAGGCACUAAUCCAUACCUACUGCAACGAUAACCAUACAUGCCCUACUACUAAACAUUGGAUAGAGACAAGUUUCCCCCAUUUUUCUUCUUUCACUCCACACUUGGGGACACACCGACAUUUCACUCCACAAACUCGCCUCACUCCACACACUCACCUCACUCUCUAAAGCUCACCUCUCUGCUCAAACUCACUAGCGAUCAGGUAAAAUCGGAGAACCUCUCCCCUCAAACUUACCUCUCAAUUGAUUAGGUUUGGUUUGAGGUCUUUAAUUGGGGGUUUGAUUGGCGGCUUCUUCAUUCCGCGGAACUAGGGCUUCCGGUUUAUAGUUCCUUUGAAUUUUUUUUACUAGCUUCUUCAUUUUUUUUUCACUAUAAUGUUUUUAGUUGUGUCUUUAUUUUUCUCAGGGGCUUCGACUGAAUUGGGGCUUCUCUAGAACUAGAGCUUCAACAGCUUUUAACUUUAAGUGGGGUUUCGGUUUGCUUGGAUUUAAGGUACAAUCCGCUGUCGUCCUUGUACACUUUAAAUGCAUGCUUUGUUUUUGAUUUUAGGUGUAAAUACGUGUCUAUCUUUGUUGUGAUAUGUGUUCCUAUGUUAUGUUAUGCAUCUCCAAGUUCUAUAGACAUUCAAGCCGGGGAUCGGAACUCGGAAGCAUUUUCAGACCCAUUGGUCAAAAGGGGAACCAGUGAUUGUUACUAUUGUGCUUGACAGUACAUAUGGUCUAAGCUGGGAACCAAUGGUGAUGUCUCUAGCAAUCCAUGAUAAGUCCCACACUGAUGUGAUUUGUCUUAAAUUGUUUGAGCUGGUGCGAGGUAAGUUGUUUCUUGCUUUUAUAGUAUAUACAGUUUUUUCUGUCUUAUUUAACAAAAAACAUUUACCUCUGCAAUUAUAAUGUAUUAUGUAUAACUGAAUCCACUGUUUUCCAAGUGCGUAUAUAGCAGUACUAGCAAGUAAAUCUGUUCCAAAUUAGUAAAGGGUUUAUGUGUGUACUUGUUUAACAGAAACUAGCAAUCAAAUGUUUAGCUAUAAUAAUUAUGAAAUCCAGUUAUUAAUCAUACAACUAAGUUAAGUAUUAAAUAUUAUUUUUCUUGCAGGAGGAAUAUAGUGUAUGUUCGUUCUUUAAAGGCUAUACAGAGGGUAUACACUUGUCUGCCUGGCCCCAAAUGCUCAAGUUAAAUGACUGGCCUCAAUCUGGUUCGUUUGAUGAUCAUCUCACGUCAUAAUGUGGAGUUCUUAAGUGCUUUGCCGUUCAAGGAGUACACACAUCCACAGAGCGCCUACUUGAACCUUGCUGUCAAGUUACCCGAGGGCAAUCUGAAGCCAGACACAGGGCCAAAGCUGUAUACGCUUAGAUAAUGCACAAACACGCCUAACCAAUAAGCAUCAGAACAUAAAUAGUCUUGGCUAAAAGGUUGAUAGUACAACACGUAACAGAAAAUCUGUAGAUGUCUGUAAAUAGUUAGUUAAAGCCCUGAACAUGCCUCUUGGCAAUAGCUACAAGUGUAGUUUGAUUUUUAACUUAAAAUAGAAUAAGAAAAUAGCUUUUGGUUUCUAUUUUUGCACAUUUUCGGAGCUCUGAGAUUCAUACAUAAUAGUUUUCCUCGAGUUGUUUAACCAUAUGGUUAUAUUGAAUAGGGUUCCUAUCUGUUUUACCUUUUGCAUCCGGUUUUGAUGAGAUUGUACAAUUAUAUACUUGCUUAUAUCAGGCAAGUCAUGGGCUACCAGACUAUGUACUUUUUGUAAUUUGAAUCUUAUUUCUGUAACUUUGGCUUCAUUUUAACUUAUUGCCUCUAUUUCUUGGUUUGUGUGGAUGCAAUAUCUCUUACCUAAUUUCCUGUCCAGUAAAAUGCUGGAGACUAUUAUCCUUAGAAACUGUAACAAAUCUCCUGAUGCAUGCAUCAGCCUGUCAAUCCUUGUAACUAUUUUUGCCUUUUGAAUCCAAAUUCUGACCUGCUUGUUGGUUAUGAAAUGAUAUUGUAAAAUUAUUGUUAAUUUAACUGCCAGAGUAACCUGCCCAAGUUAGUCAUAAGCUAAAACAACUUGUGCCAGUGUGUCGUAUGAAUUCAACUGGCUUGGAUUAUGAUUUUACCAUCUGAACGCUUUUGAUCAAAAAGUGCCUGGCAUUGUAGGAAUAUUUUCUUUACAUAAAUUUUACACCGAGGGAAAUGAGCUGCCUCAUCUGGUUUAUGUUUCUCGUGAGAAGAGGCCUGGAUUCGAACACCACAAAAAAGCUGCUGCUAUGAAUUCUCUUGUAAGUUUAUCGCCUACUACAUUAAUGCAUUUUCUGUCUUCGUCUUGUUUUAAGUUUGAAUAAGUUUUAAAGUGUUUGUUAGUAUAUAUUUUAUUUUCGCUUGAUGUGUAUCAUGUGGUCUUCUAGAUUCGAGUCUCAGCGGUCAUCUCUAAUGCUCCAUUUUAUUUAUACUCUAAUUUACUUCAUUUUAUUCAAAUUUCCUGCUUCUGUAUCGAUUUUAUAAGUUUGAAAUGCUUGGAUAGCAGUGUAGUGUUGUCGAUGUGCGUAAUUGAUAUCAUGUUAAAGCGGCUCCUAUUAUCUAACUUCUGCGAUUUUUUUGGGUGUAUGUAUAUGUCCUUUUGGAGGUGAUGAAUUGUUCUGUAUAUAUGCAACUAUUGCCACAGUCGACACCGUCGCGGAAAUUCUUAAAAACAGUGGCUUUGCUGUGGAAAAAAAUAAGGCUGUUCUAUUGUAUAUGUCUCGAUGUUUGGCAAUAACGAUAUUGCAUGAUAUUCAGUAAUUUAAUUGUUAAUGCUGCAGAAAUUUUGGUAAGCUCAGCACCAACCCGCUCUAACCUUCCCUAUGACUGCAACCCCAUGAGGUAUGUUCAAUUUUUGUUGAAGUUAAUAUAAAUAUGAGUGCACCUAUUCAAUAAUGAUUUUGAAGCUCUGAAGAGACUUGGCAAGCCUAGAAAUGGCUAUUUUCUAACUAAAAGCUUUGAUUUACACUAGUUCGUAUAACUUGUGUCUGUGUAGACUCAAAUGAUUCAAAAAAGUGUUACAUCUAAUAUUGCCUAGACAAUAUAUACCCUGCCUAGCAAAUGUUAAGAAUGUACUUCUUUGCCGAUAUAAAUCAACCUUCAUACCUGAUAUCGGCUUGAUCAGGUUGUGAAAAUAAUCUGAUUGACUUCUUUGUCUUGCUUUUUCUCUCUCUUGCCAAAAGAUCCAUGUUUAACUUUAAAAAGAACAUUUACUGAAUGAAACUUUCUUUAAUUUUUAAGUAGACACUUGGUUUUAUUAUAGUUUCUAUAGCACAUAAAAUUUACCUAGCACUUUUUGGAAUUUCAUAAAUCCCUUAAAUAUUAAAUCCUGUUGCCAAAAACCAGCUUUUUUUACACCCCUACCCCAAUAGUUGCACCUUAAUUACAAAAAAUGCCAUCAACCUUUACCAUUUUCACACAACGUUUCUGAUAAAACAAAAAACCCUUAUAAUAAACGAAAGCUUUUGUACCUCAUAUAAGCUUUUGUCCGGGACUCAUACAUACAGAUCUAUAUAUGUUCACAUCAUAUUGCCAUAUCUUUCUUCUCUAUUUCAGAAACAAACGAAAGUGCAGCGGCAGUACUGUCUGCUCUACUUCCCCAUUUGAUUUGUUGUGAUUUCAAAUUCAAAAUUCAAAUUUAUAUCCUCUGAUUAGAUUCAAGCUCAUUUAAAUCUCAUUUCAAGCUCUCUAACCUCGCCUCUCCUGCUCCAAGUAAGUGCCCCUCUCCCUAUCUCUCCCUUCCUGAAUGUAUCUCUCCCUCUCUCCGGCUGUCUCUAUAUCUCUCUCUUUCUGUUUUUUCAUGUUUUCGUCCGACCGUCUCUCUCUUUCCCUGUNNNNNNNNNNNNNNNNNNNNNNNNNNNNNNNNNNNNNNNNNNNNNNNNNNNNNNNNNNNNNNNNNNNNNNNNNNNNNNNNNNNNNNNNNNNNNNNNNNNNNNNNNNNNNNNUUUGAGUUUCGAUGUUGCAGCUGUUUGUUUUAUUUUUCAAUUCACAUCCUCUUAUGUAUUUAUUGAUGAACUUGAGGUAAUGUUUAUUUGGAAAGCUAAUCUUGAUAGGCGAUUUUACCAAUAUCCAUGAAGUGUUUGAUAAAAUGUGAAGAUUUGGGGGACUUUCUGUCUUCAUGUUUGGUGUGAGUGGAAUUGUGGAGGAAGGAAAAGACGAGGAGGGAACGGAAGGCAAAAAGAUGAGGUAUUUAAUUUGCAGAAAAUGGGGUAUUUGAGACUUGCAAGCUGCGGAUUACUGUCAAAUAUGAUACUGUAUUUUUAUAAUGGAUUACAGGAUGAGCUUGACAAAAGGCCUUGGGUUCAUCAUUGCUUCAAGUGUCUGUCAUUGCAUAAUUACUGUGUAGUUAUUUCUUGUAUGUUACUGUGUAGUUAUUUCUUGUAUGUUGUUUGUAUGUUGUUGUUUGUAGUUAUUUUGCUAAUGGAGUCCCACUAAUAAGAUCAAAACUUAAUUUUUCUUUGAAAUUGCACAUAGUGCAGGUAGAAUUAAGCUGCUGUAGCAGUGGAACUCUUGAUAUAUUGUGUCCCUCUAUCCUCUGGGAAUGGCAACAGCAUUUAAAGUGAAGAACAAUGCUCGCAAAGCUAUUAAACUAACCGGUGCAAUACCAAGUCAUUUCAAAUUCAAGAAGCGAAGUGGUACUGGGAUUUAGGGCCUGAGAAACUGCUCUUACUGCUCUUAAUUGUAAUUACAUAAGUUAUUAGGAAGUUCAAUAAAAUGAAUGCAGGAACCAUUUGAUUAAAAAAUUUAAACACGCCGUUAUCUUAUUAUUUGGGGUAUGCGAAAUUUAUGUCAAAUCCUUUUGGUCCAUUCGAAUAUAUUUAAAGGAAUAACAAAAGAUUGAAAUUAAUUAAAUGGUGUGACCAUUUUAAGUUUUUUUUUUUCAUUACAAUUUGGACUAAUUAUGAACAACCACAAAAUUUAUUAAAGGUAAAGCUAUUCUGACUAAUACAGAUUUGAUUUUACAAUUUAAAAUUGUCGAUUUUGGGUAAAAUAAUUUAUUCAUAAUAUAAAUUAAAAGAAAAGGAAAGAGAACAUAACACUAAACUGAAAUAAACAGACAAGAAAACAUAAAAUCAAAUACGAUUGGAUUACAUUUUCAAAAGAACCUGUGAUCUAUGACACUUAAAAAAAAGACUUUAUUGAAUUAAAAACUUACGGAGCAAAUUUUUUUAAUUAUUAUUUUAAUAAUAUAUUAAUGAUAUGAAUUUAAUAACAAAAUUUACGAUAAUUAUUAGUCGGGUAUUCAUUCACCCAUUAAACACUGAUUUUUUAAUUCCGUCUUUUUACUACAAGAAAUAUUUAUAUAAAUUUAAAUGAGAAGCAGUUGUUAGACUAAUUUAAAAUUUUAAAAACAACACAUUUAAAGAAUUAAAAUAAUUAUAAUAUAAUUACAGGAAUAUUAUUCUAUUAGUAUUUGGUGUUAUGAUGUAGAAAUUGGUGUUCAACUUUUUAUAUUAAAAAUAUUACUAAUUAUGGACAACCAAGAAAUUUAUAAAGAUUAAUGCUUUUUAAAAUACAGAAUACUAAACUAAACUAUUUUAAAAUGUUGAAUUCUUUUUAAAAUAUUUUCCGAUAUUAUUUUAGUAAUAGAUUUAUCGUACGAAUUAAAAAAAAUUAGGAAUACCUAAUCGAUUGUAAAGACAUUUGUCGGAUAUUUAUUCAUCCGUUAAAGACCGACUUUUUAAUUUCAUCUUUUUAAAACAUUGAAUAUUUAUAUAUUAUAAAUGAGAAGGAGUAGUUAGACUAAUUUAAACAUUUUAAGAACAUCACAUUCAAAGAAUUAAAUUUAUUAAAGUUGAAUUAGAAAGAUAAUCUUAAAUAAGUAAUUUAACUGAUUUAGAAAAACAAAAAAUGGGUGCACAAAGGUAUGAAAAUAUUAUUUUAAUUAUAUUAAAAUAUAAAAUAAAUAUUUAUUUUCAAAGCCCUUGCGUAGCGGGCACAAAUACUAGUGAUUCAUAUAUGUCCUGAGGCUUCAAUCUUUGAUAUAAUGGAUUUUAUAAUUGACGCUCAAAUAGCAAAGGCGAUGACAUUUUUUCACGGAGUUGUUUGAUGGAAGCAAGGUUCUUGAAAUUUAUAGCUAGAGCAACUAAAUGGCUUUGUUUGGCGGCUUUGACUUAAUUAUUGAUGGUCGUUCAUUCAACAAUCUGCUUUAGUACAAGCAGAUUGUUCAAUCAGAUACUCGACAAACCUAGAUUAGGUUAUUUUCUAACUAAAUUUUUUUAUUUACACUAGUUCGUAUACCUUUUGUCUUGUGUAGAAUCAAAUGAUGUAAAAAAAUGUUAGAUCUGAUAUUGUCCAGACAAUUUAUGAAUUUCAUUUGGUAUUAUAAAUAAGUACUGCAUGACAUCUUAAAAUUAUACUGUAAAAAUUGAUAAUUUCGGUAAAGUAAAUUGUAAAAAUCCUCUCUGUAGAAACUGUAUUUUUUUUAAUACAAGCCAAAUAAACAAAUAGCUCAAGACUUAACUAGUUACUUGAUUUAUCAACUAAGUCUAUUUAUAAUGUACUGAACUACUACACAAAUGAAUUAAUUUGUUUAAGUUACUCAUGUAUAGGGACAUGAUGAUGUUGUGGUAUUUGUGAUGGGACCAAUUUUAGAGUUUCAUCUUUGAGGCAACAAAAUUUAGUGUUACAUUUUUAUCCUAGUGGUGUCGCAUUAUGUAAUUCGUUCUCUUUGUUGCAUUAAUCGACAUACAAAUUGUUGCAUUAUAUGUCAAAUGUAAGCCUCAUUUAUGCAAUACAAGAGAAUAUUGUCUUUUUUACUUGUUGGUCUAAGACAAGAGCAUUUGAGAAUUCAAGCAAUAUCAUUUGGGGUCUGAGGUGAAUCUAAAAAUAUUUCUUAUUCGCAACUAUAAUGUACUUGACUAUAAUGAAUAUCAUUUGUCUUUUGACCGAGAACUUGACGUAAUCGUAUAGUUCGAAGUCAAGUAAAACCACGAAAUUUGCAAUAAUUAGUGAAAUGGAAGCAACUAACUAAGCUACAUAAUAGGAAAUUAUCAUGACUUGUGAUUGUUUCAAAGACAUGUUAUUGACUACAUAAAGUAUAAACAUAGGCAUCUUAAUAUUAGGCUAGGCAUAGUAUAUUGCACUAUUUAAUUUAUGACGCAUUUAUGUCAUUUUUUUGUUGAAUUUAUGGACUUCUCCGGAAUAAUUUCGAGCAUACUAGAAUGUUCUAUUUAUGGGAUGCGUGUGAAAAGGUUUAGCAUUUUUCCGUGUAACAUAUCUUAGAUAUAUAUCUAUAGUCAACCCCUCUGGAACCAUUCUUAGUGGUGAACAGUCAUCAAAAAUCUAGAUGCUUCCUAAGAGAUGUAUAUAUUGAAGAGCUCCCCGCAACCAAUAAAGUUGUAAUCUCUUACACUUGUUCAUAUUCACAGAAUUUCUCUUAUAUGUAUAUCAAUCUUCAAUAUCAUAGGUGGAUUACUUUCACAAACAAUGAAGAAAAUGCUUCAAAUGUACAACACCUCCCGAGUCAUCAUACUAAUUUCUUUUGAAGGUAUCCUCUGCGAUUCUCUUGAUGUUCUUCUGAGAUCGUAAUAAUUUUUGGUAAUUUUAUUGGACAAGAUUUCCCAUGAUUUGUACAAUAGUCCAUGUGAUUCACGCGAUCUAAUUAGUCUUAUAAUUUUAGCCGGUCGCCUGCAAAAUAUUUUUAGUAUUUUUAGAUCAGUCGAAAGAUCCCCAUGAUGACCAUUCAUGUCUACCGCUAGGCCUGUAAAUCGAUACGGACUAUCCGGUGUCUCGGCUCAUAUCUGGCUCGAAAAUAUGAUACAUGUCUCAUAUCCGUUUUGAAAACGAUCCAAAUCUGGCGGUAAAAUUAAGCCCGUAUAAUAUAUGAUCCCGGAUACGAGCACACCUAUACCCGCUCAGAUUCGGUCUCAUAUAAUUUUUCAUAAUAUGAUCCUACCCGAAUAACCGAAUAUGAUCCACGGUUCAUAUUCGAUUCAAAUUCAUAUACAUAUUAUAUUUUAACACCAUCAUGUUUGCAAAUAAAUAGUCAUCAUUUUAUAAAAUUAUAAUAUCUUAUUUAAGUUUAUAUCUUCAUAAAAUAUGAUUUAUUUAAUGUGAUCAUGCUUAUUAUCUUCAUAUAUAUUUAAUAAAUGACAUAUACCAACAUAUAAUUAUAAGUUUUAAUUCAAAAUUAUUAUACUUUAUAAUAUUAUGUUUACUUAGACUAAAUGAUAAUUAUUUGAACAACUGAAAUAAUAAUGAUAUUUGAUGUUAGUGGAUCACAUCCGGCUCAUAUUCGAUGGAUCAUAAACUACCCGGUUAAAAAAUAGAAAAUACGAUACUGGAUCAUAUCCGGUUCAGAUCCGAAUCUCAAAUACCCGGGAUCGGUUUAUAUCCGAAUAAAAUGAUCCCGGACCCAAAUCUGGACAAGCUAAAAAUAAUAUGAUCCGAUACUUGAGCAGAGGGGUACCCGGGAUCACCCGGAUCAUUUUACAGCCCUAUCUACCGCAAUGGUAUGAACACGACUAUUAUGUUGAAUCCAUACCUACUAAAACGAUAACCAUUCAUGUCCCACUCCUAAAACAUUGGGUAGAGGCAAAAUCCCCUCCCCCGCCCCUUUCUUCUUUCAGUCCGCAGUUAGACACACACCGACAUUUCACUCUACAAACUCACCUCAGUCCACAUUUCAAUUGAUUAGGUUUUGGUUUGAGGUCUUUAAUCGGGGAUUCGAUUAACUGCUUCUUCAUUCCGCGGAAUUAGGACUUCGAGUUUAUAUUUCUUUUAAAUUUGUUUACUAGCUUCUUCAUUUUGUUUUUCACUAUUAUGUUUUUGAUUUUGUGUCUAUAUUUGCUCAGGGCUUCGACUGAAUUGGGGCUUCUGUGGAUUUACAGCUUCAACAACUUUUCAAUUUAAUUGGGGCUUCGAUUUGCUUGGAUUUAAGGUACAAUCCGUUGUCAUCCUUUGUUUUUCACUUUAAAUUCAUGCUUUGUUUUUGAUUUUAUGUGUAAAUAAAUAUCUAUUUAUGUUGUGAUUUGUGGUCCUAUGUUAUGUUACGCAUCUCUCCCCCUCUCCGUCUCCCUCUUUCCCUCUCUCCCUCUCUCUCCCUUUCUAUCUCCCUCCCUCUCUCUGUCCUCUCUGUCUUUCCCCCCUCUGAGAGUCUAUGUCAUGUUAGUUUAUAUUAGCUUAUGUUAGUUUAUGUUAGUGGAUGUUAGUGUAUUCUUGUUCCUGUACAGUAACGACUUAAUUACACAAAGGCGUGUUUACCUGUUCUGAGCUUUCGGACCAGUCAUACUCAGUUGAAAUGACAGUAAAGUGAACACUUCCUUGUUCAAUAGAAUACCAUGGCUUAUCCUUUGCAAGAUGUUGGCAACGGGAAAUAAGUCUGAUAUGGAACUCAGCAUUCUCCUCCAGAGUCCGCGAUCCAGUGCCUAAAAUCCACUGUUAAACCAUCCAUGAUUCAUUUAUGUGUCUUAUAAUUCUACAAUCAUUAUUCAUUAAUCUUUUUCAUCUGAUACCAAAUCUUGAUUUUCUAUAAAGGUAGAAACUAGAUAACGACAAUAGCAUAGAAACUUCCUUGUGAUAUUACUUUCCUCUUUAUAAUUAAAAUACCAUGUACCUAAAUUUAUCAAAAUUAUUGAUUUCUGUAUAGUUAUAUUCAAUAGGACUACAAGCCCAACAUGAAAACCAUAUCAUCUAAUAUAUAUUCUAGCGGUUUAGAGCUAUUGAGGAUAAGCCUCUAGUGAAAGAUCUACUUCAUAAAAAAGCUCUCUUAUCUGUAAGGCUUUUAAGCAUUAUGAAUGAGCCUGGCUUGUCAUAUCACAAUGUUGCUAGCCAUUUGCAGGUAGUACUUUUUUUUGAAACUUACAUGAUCUAUUUAAGUUAACUCAUUCGAACUUGUUACUCUUUCUGCAUUUAUUUGUAUAUAAAAUCACUACAACGAAUCUGACUUUUUACAACGAAAAAUUAACACUAGUUUCAUCAUAAUUGGAUGUAAUUACAAAGGAAAUAUUCGGGCGUUUUUGAAAGCGUCUAAAGUUCACAUUUUAGUCGCCGUAAAAGUCUGUCCGGACAUGUUUGAUUGAUAUAAAAAGUAAGACAAAAUCAUACCAGAAAGAUUAGUACAACAUUGCAUACAAUUUAGUUCCACAUCACUAACUAAAUUACUUAUAUUGAAAGAAUUAGGAAAUAUUGCAAAUUAAACUGUAUUGAAUUGCAACAUUAAAUUACUUUUCUAACCUCAUGAUUAUUAGCUAGUUAAAUACAUUUGGUUCUUCCUAUUUUUACAACUUAAUUAUAUAACAUUGUAAAUUAACUAAAUCUUCCAUCUUCUUUGCAGAAACAUAGAAAGUAGGAAAAGCACUCUGAUAAUCUGCCUAGAAGUGCUAGUCCAGUAAUGUCAGCUGUGCUGCCUGCAGCACCACUGAACAUUUUCCCACAAGGACGAACAUCUGGAAGUAUUGCAAAUUUUAGCUAUAUGGAAGCCCGCGGAACUUCACAAAUUCAGAGAUCUUGGAAUCCAGAGGAAGCUCCUAACGUUAAGGGCUACGGUCUUGAUGAUGGGAAACAAAAGCUGGACGCUUUGAACUACUACUCCUGCAACAAUUCUAGGAAUGCUAUCAUCGCCAAUAGAGGUGUUCAUUCAGGGGGCAGUGGAAGAGUUGAAAUGGCUCAGGUCAUUGACCAGGACCAUGACAAUACCAUGGAGAAUUAUGUUGCAAAUAUCAGGGCACAAUUUAAAGUGGUUCCUAGGAGAUUUGGUCUUGGGGCCAUGGAAGUCCCCCCAGAGAUACUGGAAAGCGGUCACUUGAGCAGUGGUCUGCAGACUCUAUAUCAUGAACCAGCUGGUGCAACCGAGGACGUGAUACCAUCAAGCAGUCUCCUGAGUAGUGGGGUUGCAGACUCUGAACUGUCACCCGAACAAUGGCCUGCAGGCCCUGAACCAAGAAAAUGCUGGUGAUACUGCGAUAGCGAUGUAUGAUCUGGGAAAUCCAGUCAACAUGGACAGUCGCAGCUUUGGAGAAGGCACUAGUGCAAAUCAAGUGCUGGACGAUCUGCCUAGUGAGGAGGAAGUUAAUAAUAUGAUACAGGAUCUUGAAGCCUAUGAUUUAUUCGAUUGGAUAAAUUAAAACCAAGCAAAGGUAUUCUCUUUCAGUUUUUUAGCAACUAUUCAGAAGUUUGACAGAAAACAAUUGAAAUCAAUCAAUACUAAAUGUUUUUGUAUGUUCAUGAGAUCUCUGUUUUCUGAGAACACUAUCUUAUGUUUAGUAUUAAUGGCUCAUUAAUGGUUGUAUUACUUCAUGUUUAGUGUGUUUUUUUUAUAAUUUUGGCUCGAUUGUUUUUCAUUACUCGUUUCCUGUAGUUAAAUCUAUAUUCAGUUAACUAUUAAGAUAGAAUGUAUUAAUAAAUUGUUAACUAUAAGAAACAUUUACCUCUGCAAUUAUAAUGUAUUAUGUAUAACUGAAUCCACUGUUUUCCAAGCAAGUAAAACUGUAUACUAGCAGUAUACAGCUUUGGCCCUUUGUCUGGGUAUAUGUGAGUACUUGUUUAACAGAAGCAAGCAGUUAUAUGUUUAGCUAUAAAAAUUAUGAAAUCCAGUUAUUAAUAAGUAUUAAAUAUUAUUUUUCUUGCAGGAGGAAUAUAGCGUAAGUUCGUUCUUUAAAGGCGUACUUGACUUGUCUGGCUGGCCCCAAAUGCUCAAGUUAAAUGAUUGACCUCAAUCUGGUUUUUGAGGAUCAUCUCCAAUGUCAUAAUGUGGAGUUCUCAAGUGCUUUGCCUUUCAAGGAGUACACACAUCCACAGAGCGGCUACUUGAACCUUGCUGUCAAGUUACCCGAGGGCCAUCUGAAGCCAGACAAAGGGCCAAAGCUGUGUACUGCUUAUGGCUUUUCCCAGCAACUUGGACGUGCUGACUGUCUCAAAACUCAGCUAUAAUUCAGAUGCGGUAUGAUCUAGUUUGUAAAUAGAGUGAAUAACUUUCACAAACAAUGAAGAAUAUGCUCCAAAUUUACAACCUCUCCCAAGUUAAGUUGUUUUUGAUUGUGCAAACAAUUUUGUUACCUAUGCAAUGUUAUAUCAAUGUAUAUCAUAGAAUCACCUCCAACUAUUUAUCAAUUAUCGUACUUCAUAAAUAUGACUUAGUCAUGUAGUUUAGAAAUCUCAGUAUUUUUGUCCAUAUCUUUU
rnacentral:lncRNA from 1 species